rnacentral:rRNA from 1 species
GACGAACGCUGGCGGCGUGCUUAACACAUGCAAGUCGAACGGGCCUUGUCCCCUUUUUUUUGGGGGUGGGGUUAGUGGCGAACGGGUGAGUAACACGUGAGUAACCUGCCCCUCACUUCUGGAUAACCGCUUGAAAGGGUGGCUAAUACGGGGUGUUCUGGCCUGCUCGCAUGGGUGGGUUUGGAAAGAUUCGACCGGUUUUGGUUGUUUUGGUGGGGGAUGGGCUCGCGGCCUAUCAGCUUGUUGGUGGGGUGAUGGCCUGCCAAGGCUUUGACGGGUAGCCGGCCUGAGAGGGUGGGCGGUCACACUGGGACUGAGACACGGCCCAGACUCCUACGGGAGGCAGCAGUGGGGAAUAUUGCACAAUGGGCGCAAGCCUGAUGCAGCGACGCCGCGUGAGGGAUGGAGGCCUUCGGGCUGUGAACCUCUUUCGCCAGUGAAGAAGGUCCUGCUCUUUGUGGUGGGGUUGACGGUAGCUGGGUUAAUGAAGCGCCGGCUAACUACGUG